CGUUACCCGCCGCCCAACCGCCCUCCGUGCGUGCCCGCGCCCCGCAGGCUGCUCCCACCGCUCCCCCGGCACCGCUUUUGUUUUUGUUUCUCUCUCUCUCUUUUUUUUUUUUUUUUAAGUCCGGCUCCCCAGCUGUGAGAGCUGACUCUUCAAACCGGCGCUUUGAGCGUCCACGCUUGGCCGUGCCAAAAAAGUAACGACGGGAAGUGAACAAAGGACAUGUCAAGGAUCUGAGGAGAUUCCCCUCUCUACGCACCGCCCGAGCCGCUCGGCCCGCGUUGCUCACUGUCCCUGGGGCUGCUGACGAGUGGUGAACCAAACUCUUCCCUUUUUCUUCUGGCGAGGUCGCUUUAACGAGAGGAAAAAUAACGCUUUACUCUCGCACCGAGCUGGAGCUUGUUUUUAAUAGUGUUAGGAGCAAUCCUAACUGCUGGAAUUUUCUCCAAAGGGAAGACUGAUUUUUGACUUCACAUGUGGCAGCUCAUGAAGCAGAUAGGCUGUAAAGACCAGGAGGGUCAUGCUACUAGUAGCAGAGCAGUGAGCACUCACUCCUAGUUCCCCAGGUUGGCAAAGCUGUGAUUUUAGCAUUACUUAAUCUGCUGGAACUGUAUCAGCACUAAUAAUCAUAUCUCAUGCUGCUCCCUGAACAACUUUGGCUUCUCUGCAGCUCCUUGGAUUUUAUAGAGUCCUGUUCUCCGUAGCUUCUGGGGACAAAAGGUUGAAACAAACCUUUGUGGAUUGUGUAAGAACGUGUCUGGAUAUGCAUCUGAUGUCAGCCACAUACAGCAGAUAAAUCCAAGGAGGUUCACCAGACAAAAGAGGCCAUGAAUAGAUGGAUGUGCUAAAAAGCACCAGUAACAAACAAUGGAAUCACAGAAUGUCCCGCGUUGGAGGGGACCAACAUGGAUCAUCGAGUCCAACCCCUGGCUCUGUACAGGACCACCCAAAUUUCAAACCCUACGUUUGAGACCAUUGUCCAGAUGCUCCUUGCACUCGGGCACUUGUUCCACUGCCUGACCUCCUCUGGUGAAGAAGCUUUUCGUAAUCCCAAACCUGACCUCCAUGCAACUCCACGCUGUUCCCUCAGAUCCUAAACAACAGAAAGAUGCGCAGUUGGCAUACCUAUGUUUGUUACAGCAGAG
ensembl:lncRNA